AGCAGGCAUGCGUGGGUCGUCCCGCUUCGCGGGACUCACAGGUCGUCCGGUAAGGGCGGCAGCCCCUAGUGGGUGGGAUCCUGUGACCCAGGGCCUGCUCGUUU
rnacentral:sRNA from 12 species